GACCCCCCAGAGCAGCGCGAGAGGGGAGGGCAACAUGGCGACGCGGGGGGGGCCCGGCUGACACGGCGCUGCCCGUUCCCCAUCCCCGGGCGCUCCUCACCGCCGCCGCCGUUCCCCCUCAGCGAGAGGCCGCGGAGCCGCUCCGGCCGCGCGGGGACCGAACGGGGAUGAAGGCUCCGCAGGCUGCGGCGCACCGGCCGCCCCCGACUCCUUCCCGCCCUCCCCGGUCACCUUCCCGCGACCCCGGCGCGGGGGGUGCGUGAGGGAGGAGACCCCCUGAGGGAAGGGUGUCGCGGGCUCCCGCGCAGCGCUUUACCUGGCCGCCUCAGUGCGGGCUCCGCCGUUGCCACCGCCUCCUUUUGGGGAUAUUUUUUUAAUGUUUUUUUUUUCCUUUUUUUUCCUUUUUUUUUUAUAUCUUCUUUCCGCCUCCCCCUCCCCUCCCCCCAGGGGCGGACGGGCUCACCCAGCCGGCGGCGGGAGGGGAGGGCACAAGAUGUCGGCUCCGUCCGCUCCGGCUACCGCCGCCGCCUCAGCGCCACCUCCUCAUGCCGCCGCUGCCGCCGCUCCUGCCCCGUCUGAGCCUUGAGGUGCAGCUGGCUUCCUGAGGUGUGACAAGGUGGAAGGAUAGCGAGAGAGGGACCAGGAGGAACCAGCAAGGCUGAAAUUCUGUUUGCAGCUGAGAUAAGUGGUGAGGUAGGAGCUGCAGAGGCUCCUACACUUACUUUUUAUAGAGCACAGCACAUACUUGGGCAGAUGUAUGCUCCACCUCCCACUCGUAUCGUGCAGAGCGUUGCAUAAUCUGAAUUCAUAGAAUUAACAGAAAUGGGGAAAGAAAAAAAAAAGUGCUAUUUUCCAUCAUUCCCAUCCAACUAUAAAUCAUUUUGUCUCUUCACCUAUGUUAGGUGUGGAAUCUGAGAGCAGCCAGUCUAUGCCAAAUCUGUUGGGAAGUACACGGGGCAGACCAGAGCUGGUUGAAGUCUUAAAAGCAUGAGAAAACACAUUACUGCUGAGCAGCCUUACAUGUCAACCUCUAAGUAUUCCUUUUGUGUAUACCUUUUAAAGAAUCUACUGUUCCCAUAUCAGAACUCCAAAAAGAAUAGAUUCUGUUCUUGUCCUGUAUGAAAAAUGAACUAUCAAAGAUUUAAA